rnacentral:rRNA from 1 species
AAUGAACGCUGGCGGCAGGCCUAACACAUGCAAGUCGAGCGGAUGAAGGGAGCUUGCUCCUGGAUUCAGCGGCGGACGGGUGAGUAAUGCCUAGGAAUCUGCCUGGUAGUGGGGGAUAACGUCCGGAAACGGGCGCUAAUACCGCAUACGUCCUGAGGGAGAAAGUGGGGGAUCUUCGGACCUCACGCUAUCAGAUGAGCCUAGGUCGGAUUAGCUAGUUGGUGGGGUAAAGGCCUACCAAGGCGACGAUCCGUAACUGGUCUGAGAGGAUGAUCAGUCACACUGGAACUGAGACACGGUCCAGACUCCUACGGGAGGCAGCAGUGGGGAAUAUUGGACAAUGGGCGAAAGCCUGAUCCAGCCAUGCCGCGUGUGUGAAGAAGGUCUUCGGAUUGUAAAGCACUUUAAGUUGGGAGGAAGGGCAGUAAGUUAAUACCUUGCUGUUUUGACGUUACCAACAGAAUAAGCACCGGCUAACUUCGUGCCAGCAGCCGCGGUAAUACGAAGGGUGCAAGCGUUAAUCGGAAUUACUGGGCGUAAAGCGCGCGUAGGUGGUUCAGCAAGUUGGAUGUGAAAUCCCCGGGCUCAACCUGGGAACUGAUCCAAAAUACUGAGCUAGAGUACGGUAAGGGUGGUGGAAUUUCCUGUGUACCGGGUGCAAAUGCGUAGAUAUAG